UACAGAGGUCUCAAGCGUUGUUCGGAUUCAUUGGGCGUAAAGGGUGCGUAGGUGGCGCUGUAAGUCGGGUGUGAAAUUUCGGAGCUUAACUCCGAAACUGCAUUCGAUACUGCGGUGCUUGAGGACUGGAGAGGAGACUGGAAUUCAUGGUGUAGCAGUGAAAUGCGUAGAGAUCAUGAGGAAGACCAGUGGCGAAGGCGGGUCACUGGACAGUUCCUGACACUGAGACACGAAGGCCAGGGGAGCAAACGGG
rnacentral:rRNA from 1 species